GACGAACGCUGGCGGCGUGCCUAAUACAUGCAAGUAGAACGCACAGUAUAUACCGUAGCUUGCUACACCAUAGACUGUGAGUUGCGAACGGGUGAGUAACGCGUAGGUAACCUGCCUGGUAGCGGGGGAUAACUAUUGGAAACGAUAGCUAAUACCGCAUAAUAUUAAUUAUUGCAUGAUAAUUGAUUGAAAGAUGCAACUGCAUCACUACCAGAUGGACCUGCGUUGUAUUAGCUAGUAGGUGAGGUAACGGCUCACCUAGGCGACGAUACAUAGCCGACCUGAGAGGGUGAUCGGCCACACUGGGACUGAGACACGGCCCAGACUCCUACGGGAGGCAGCAGUAGGGAAUCUUCGGCAAUGGACGAAAGUCUGACCGAGUAACGCCGCGUGAGUGAAGAAGGUUUUCGGAUCGUAAAGCUCUGUUGUAAGAGAAGAACGGGUGUGAGAGUGGAAAGUUCACACUGUGACGGUAUCUUACCAGAAAGGGACGGCUAACUACGUGCCAGCAGCCGCGGUAAUACGUAGGUCCCGAGCGUUGUCCGGAUUUAUUGGGCGUAAAGCGAGCGCAGGCGGUUAGAUAAGUCUGAAGUUAAAGGCUGUGGCUUAACCAUAGUACGCUUUGGAAACUGUUUAACUUGAGUGCAGAAGGGGAGAGUGGAAUUCCAUGUGUAGCGGUGAAAUGCGUAGAUAUAUGGAGGAACACCGGUGGCGAAAGCGGCUCUCUGGUCUGUAACUGACGCUGAGGCUCGAAAGCGUGGGGAGCGAACAGG
rnacentral:rRNA from 1 species